rnacentral:sRNA from 18 species
CCCCCGCAGUCCGAACCGCCGCCGUAUGGUGUGCGUGUCCGUCAGGUCGGACUAGGCUGCGGGGGUGCG